CAGCACCUCAAGUGGUCAGGAUGAUUAUUGGGCCUAAAGCAUCCGUAGCCUGCUGUAUAAGUUUUCGGUUAAAUCUAUGCGCUCAACGUAUAGGCCGCCGGGAAUACUGUACGGCUAGGGAGUGGGAGAGGUAGACGGUACUCGGUAGGAAGGGGUAAAAUCCUUUGAUCUAUUGAUGACCACCUGUGGCGAAGGCGGUCUACCAGAACACGUCCGACGGUGAGGGAUGAAAGCUCGGGGAGCAAACCGGAUUAGAUACCCGAGUAGUCC
rnacentral:rRNA from 1 species